rnacentral:tRNA from 1 species
UGUCCAGGGAUGGGAAUCGAACCCACAGUGUUCCGCUUACUGGGCAGAUACCAUGUCCACUAGGCUACCCUAGAC